rnacentral:rRNA from 1 species
CAAUAGCGUAUAUUUAAGUUGUUGCAGUUAAAAAGCUCGUAGUUGGAUUUCGGAUGGGAUUUGCCGGUCCGUCGUUACGAUGUGCACUGGCCAGUCCUAUCUUGUUGUCGGGGACUAGCUCCUUGGAUUCACUUCCUGGGACUAGGAGCUGACGAGGUUACUUUGAGUAAAUUAGAGUGUUCAAAGCAAGCCUACGCUCUGAAUACAUUAGCAUGGAAUAACACGAUAGGACUCUGGCUUAUCUUGUUGGUCUGUGAGACCAGAGUAAUGAUUAAGAGGGACAGUCGUGGACAUUCGUAUUUCAUUGUCAGAGGUGAAAUUCUUGGAUUUAUGAAAGACGAACUUCUGCGAAAGCAUUUGUCAAGGAUGUUUUCAUUAA